AUUUAUCAUUGACGGUCUAGCCUACUACACCUUUAAGACGUCGACACUGUGCGAAUUGGGAGUGGGCAUAUGUUCGACAGUAAAAUCACAACACUUCGCAAUGGGAAAACUGUGAAGAGGACCCUCUGCGCUGACCACUAGUUAUAGAAAAGCCGUCGACAACGAUAUUUAUCUCAUCGAAACAAAAAUAUCUGCCGGUAUCCUGCAUGUUGUACUGUUGUGGAAGCAAGGACAAGGAGAAGCAGCGCCCGGACGCUGCAGAGGUGUCGAGAAUUCUAGAGACAGAGACAGAGAAAAACCGAAAGAGCCAAGAAAGCGCACCUCAACCACUGGACAUGUACGGAAUAGCGGCAAUGCCCGAGCUUCUACCACCCUCUGGCGUACUUCAGCCCAGCUCAGUAAUCCCACUCGAGUCGGGUGAGGUGCCUGGUUUGUGGAAUGGAUUCAACAGGGGUGUGCUGAGUUUUGACUCCCCCCAGCGGAGACGAGGCCAACGGGCCCCGAAGUUAGGGCAAAUAGGACGGUCGAAGAGAGUGGUUAUAGAGGAUGACGACUUGGAUGAUGUCAUGAAACACAAUGGCCUCCCCAUAUCAAUCAAUAUCUCUCCUGUUGCCUGA
rnacentral:lncRNA from 1 species